GUAAAAUAUAGAAGCAAUCCAGUUGAGCUUGUGGAACAUACACAGAAAUGUACAUAGAGAGAGAAAGAGUUUUGUCAUAUCGAUAUCUUCACAAAUUAAUCUGGUUUUGUUAAAACACACAUGUGUCAAUCAAGAUUGAAGAUGAGAGUUUUUGUUUUGGUGGUGUUUAAAAAUUGCGAACCUAUCACCGUCCGCCGACAGGUCGCCAUCGCUGGACGCCGACGAGCCCUGCUUGGAUAGCAGGCGCACGUCGCCGGGCAAUACCUCCUCGGAUCUGUGGACCGUAAACGACGUUUUCCCUCUGCGACCGAACCCCAUCCUGCGUUUUCGUCCUGCGCUCGGGAAGAGAGACACACACACACGCACAAGUCGCAUAAAAAUCGUUUAAAUCAUCAUCGCUUAAAAUUAUAAACAGUUUCCAACUAAAACACAAAGAAACACAACAAUCAUCUUUGACCUUGGCGGAAGGUCAAGGCAAAAUGACAGCUAACUACGGUCUCCUGAAUGAAUAUACACUUAAACAUCGAGUAAACUAGUCUCAAGUUAAGUCAAUUAGAAACAAAUUAAAACAGCGAGUGAGAGUUUUAUACGUUUUGAAAGAGAGAAAAGUUUCUAUGUUUUUAGUUUUAUAGGUUAGGAGAUAUAUGACACAUACCUGUGGCUGACAGUUGACUAGUGGAGUUACUCUUCUUGCCGAGACCCACAAACUGCGCCUGUGGGUCCCUGCGUAUCGUAUCCUUACGGAUGAUAUCCUUUUGUGGCACUUCUAAUCCCCCAACUUGUCCUACCGCAGUAUCACUUAAACUUCCAUCUAAAAAGUAGGAGCUUCAUUAUUCGAUAAACUGCGUGUAAACUGACCACGUUUCACACUACCCUCACGAUGUUGUCGAUGGUUCCUCCGGUCGUCAUCCAGCGGGUCCCUGAGAUUCUGCUCGUGGUCCAUCUCGUGACGCAUGCGUCGUGAUGUUGUUGUUCGAUGGCUGCCGUAAGGAUAACGGUCGCUGCCGCUGCCAGUUGUGUAUUCAGUGCUGGGGAAGGAUAAUUUAGCAUUACUACUGGCAUCUAGCGGUGAUUCAAUGUCAUUAUGAUUAUAAUUCGUGUAAUUAUUGAGUAAGGUUUGAAGCACUGGUGAGGACCAUAAGGAUUUCUCGCGUUGGUCACGCAAUUGUUCAAGCACGCGUUUUUGCGCCGAAGCAAAUUUACGGUUACCUGAUGACUCUGGAUCCUCGUGGUCGUUCCGAUUGAGUGGAGAACGCACUGCUUGUUACCGAUGCGACUGAUUCCAUAUCGCUGUCAAAAUCGACCAGGGGAUCUCUAUCACGAUCGGGUGAAAGCGAUCGUCUUGUUCGUGUGUGCGUCGUGAGAUCCGAAUCGCUCAAUCCGCUAUAUCGACGCUCCCAACCCGAACCAGUACUGCGAUAUUGUGUAUACCUGUAAAUACGGGUUUAGACGUUUUAGCGAUUUGUGUGUUGAUGACGUCACGUGGUAACUUGUGGUUGCUACUUGCCUCAUUUUGUAGCGCGUGGAGCGCUCCUCGAGGUCCUGAGCGACGCGCUCCUGGAGCGCGCGUGCAAGGUGUGGCACUUGAGGCAGUUGCCGUUUCUUCGGCGAGCCGGUCGGUGUGGCUGUCGCGGAGCGCGACUGGAAGCGGCUGCUCGUUACGGCGUAGUUGUUGUUCGGCUGCUGGUUGUAGUCGAGGAGGCGGCCGUCGGGCGGCGACAGUGAGCGGUGGUGGUCGGUGGUGGCGCGCCGCGGCGACUUGGAGCGCGAGCGCGACAUGUGCACGCUCGGCGAUUCGCACGGCGCCGCCGAAUGCGACCUUUGACCCGCCAUAUUGCUCUAUCGUGACGAGGGGAAAAAAGUGCAUCAAAACCACGAACGUAUACAACACACACAACACAACACAGCUUAUACACAGGUUAGAGUAUAAUUAACUUUCGAUUAAAUCCGCAUGCGAUUGCACACCAAGGACUUUUAUACGAUUUCACUGCCCCCCACUCUACGUGUGUGUGUUUCAAUGUGUGUAUGUGUGUGGGUAAGAAAAUUAUAGUCUAUUAAAAGGUUGAGAGGUAAAAGUUGCGCCGCGAUAUUAACACCCUCGGACACACUCGCGACUCGCGUUCUGAUUUCACUGGCGCCGUUUGAUACGCCACUCGUGCCAAAAUGCCCCGAGAAUAGCGGCAAGCGGAGAAAAAAAGCACAAGUCCGCAGCCACAUACCGAACGCGUAAUACAGGGGGGCGGUUUUCUAAGAUUCGUUGCGUAUUACAAAUCCGCAUUGUAAACACUACCGCCAGCCAAGAGACCAGCCAGCGAGCAAAAACUCCGCGCGCCUCAUUCAUGGUCCUUAAUCAAUAACAUUUUGGAACAUGUCCAAAAUUCGGCUUCUUCCUGCACACGGCCUUUAAUCCAGAUAUCCGAACACGUCAGCGCGCACGCUGACAUAAAACGCAAUAUUCCGCCCGCAAAACUUUGUGAAUUAUGGCGCGACUUCCGGUUACAUACUAGGCUCGUUUUUGUCUGCGGAGAUUUUUAUUAGAAGUAGACCAACUAAUUGUAAUCGUAUUGUUUCAACAUCGUAAGUGUUAUUAUAAAUGCAAAUGGGAGUUUGUUUGUGACGCUUUCACGGAGAAACUACUCAAGCUAUUUUGAUAAAAUUUGGUGUAAAAAUAGUUUAAAAUGUGGAAAAUAAUAUAGACUACUUUUUGUCGCAUAAAUUUAACGGUAAGGGUGCAAAAUAAGGGUUUAAACUUGGUAUGUACAUGUAGUCAUAUUUAUAGUUCUAUAAUUCACCACCAGGUGGCGCUAAAAUGCGUUAUUAUGCAUUUAUGUCUAAGAUAUACGAAUUUAAGUAUUAAUUACUGAUUUUACUCAUUUUUAAUUUAAUUUUCAUAACAAAAAAUAGCCUAUAUUCUAUUCUAAUGUAUAAUCUAUAAAAUUCCAAAGUUUUAUCAAAAUUUAUCAAAGGAUUUUUGAGUUAUCAAGGCACAAACAAACUUUUACAGGGCUAGAUUUUUAUUGGUGACUUACCCGUCGAUAACUACUGUUUGACUGGUGAUUAUUGUAUCCUUGAUAGAUGUGAUCCUGAUGAUCACGCCGUGAUCGUCGUUCGCUGUCGCGCGGCGGGCUGGUGGAGCUGCCCACGCUGGAGACGCUUGCGCCGUCGGCGCCUCUACGCUCGCGGCCGCCGUCGAUCUCGCACUCGGACGGAGUGUCCGAGUCCGAGUAUCUGAGCACACAAUUAUUACUAUAAAACAAUCAAAAGGGGGAAAACACACAAUCAAAACAAACGGAAGUUCGUACGGUCGUCUGAAAGUAAAGCCAAAGCUCAAAGCGGAAAUGUUAUUCUUUUCUUAAAUUUUCUAGAAUGUAAAAAUAUCGGUAUUUAAAAAUACUGGUAUUUGCAAAACCGGUAUUUGAAAAAAAUACCGGUAUACCGAUAUUGAUAUUUUUAAUUAAGAAAAAAAAAUGGUAUACUGUUAUUGAUACCGGUUUAUAAAAAAAACCGGUAUUCACAAAACCGGUAUUUGACAAAAAUACCGGUAUACCGAUAUUGAUAUUUUUAUUUAAGAAAAAAUAUCGGUAUACCGAUAUUGAUACAGGUUUUUUUUAAUUAUACCGGUACUCACAAAACCGGUAUUUGACAAAAAUACCGGUAUUUCCCAAAAACUUUCUAGAAAAUUUAAAAAAACAAUCGCAAGCAUGUAUCACAAGCCACCAUUUACCUCGAACCCGUACUGGGCGGCGAGAGAUGCUCACUAGGUGUGAGAGCAAUAUCCUCAUGCGGGCCUAGCGUCCGCCAGGUGGGUUGCUCCUCCAAAGGCCACAGCUCUAUUAUACUCUCACCCAGGAAAUCAUUCGCACCAUAUCGCACAUAAUCCCAAACAGUAAUCUCCAACGCGCGCAAUCUCAAAUCCGCUCGUCUCAGUCCGGGAUAAACAAACAUCUGAUUCCACAUCGGGUCUGUGGUACCAGCAAGCGUACGCGUCCUUCGCUUACUCUUCUCCGAUCUAUCCGGUAGUAAAAACAACUUGCAGUAAGGAUUACGUGGCUGAUGGGGUGAUCGAGGUGUUAAUCCAGCCGCGCAUAAAAUGGUCACCAUCAAUUGCAGUGUUGCCGGGUCGAAACUCAACCGCACCUGAAUUCGCCCGCCGACACUCGAUGUCAACGAGGGUGCCGGACGGGGUCGGUCGGGGCUACCCGGAGAUGUUACCAGCACGUGCGGACGGUCAUAGUUUUCGUGAUCCCAUUGCACUUGACCUUGACCUUGAACAAAAUUCAGCGAGGUUAUGUGGUUGAUUCCAUACAAUUUACGCCUGUUUUACGGAGAGAGAGAUUUUUGUGUGCACCAACCAUUAAUUUACGAGAAAAAACGCUGUCACAACAUAAAACACAGUUGUUGCUCCCAGAAUAUCAAAUAUUUUCGAUUUGUUGUUAAUUUUAUACAGUCACACACACAUACAAACACACACGCUACCCUUUAUUGAUAUUUUUGAGGUUAUUUUUGAAUAUUUGUACAUAUACAGUGCGUUUUUUAAUAUUUUUAUAAUUUUUAUGUAAAGUGUUGUAUUUUUGUGUGCAUUUGUGUAGAUGUGUGCAGUAAUUAAUGGUUAGUGUGUGUUUUUUUGUAUUUUUGGCGGGAUGUUUGUGUUAUACCUCUGUGCGCGACCGAUUGCCGCCAUGUUGCUUGCGCCGCACGCCGACUCCCCAUGCUUCUCGAGACAAUCAGCUCCACGUUCGCCUCCUGCUUGCUCUCCGCGAUUAUAUCCGAUACUUCCUGAUACGAUUUGUCCUGCAAUGAUCUGCCGUUCCAUUCUAUCACCUCGUCGCCUGAAAUGUUUCGGUCGUGUGUACGCGUUUCGUAAUUUAUUUUAUUUUUCAAAACAAAAUAAAAUAAUAAACAUAACCUAACAUAACCUAAUACUAUUUGGUGGUAUUAACAGUGCAUUAACAGUGCUUUUAAUUUAAAAAGAGAAAAAAUAAAAUUCUGUGUUUUAAUAAAACACCAGAAUUUUGUUUUGGGAUAAAUACCUGGUCGUAAUUGUCCUUCAAGGUCGGCGAUGCUGCCCUUUUUCACCUUAUCAAUGACGGCGCCUCGCAGACCACUUUCUAAAGCCUUUCCGCCGACGACUUUUAACCCCAAGAUGGCGGCACUGUUGCCGGUGGUAUGUUGCGCUCCGCGGCGUAAAAUCAUAUGGCCGAUCAUGCGGCUGCCAUCGGCGGACACCUGCCAGGUGAGCGGGUGCUAUUGCCGUGGUGGUGGUGAUUAUUGAGAGGGUGUGGGCACACGCGGGCACAUAGAGAGAAAAAAGAGAACAAACCAAACAUCAACGACUCGGUGUCAAAGAUUACCAAACUAAAACACUAAGAAUGUGAGUUUUUCUAUUUACAGCAAAACAUUCCACAUGCAACAAAAAGUGUCUGUGUGAAUAUAAGUAUAAGCCAUGCACAGUGCAGUUACAUUUUUUACAUUUAUUCAUGCAAUACGUUAAUAAUAACGAUAACCAAGUUUAAGAUGUAUGCAACCAAGAUUACACGCUUUGUAUAUACGGCCAUUUUGUUUUUGUGUGUGACGUAUUUUAUUCAACGUCUCGAAUGAGUGUGUUAAGUGUUUGUGUGUAAUCAAUGUGUGCAUAUCUGUGAUAUGCGUCACCGGAAUUCAUGCCGCGACAGCGACACUUCCGAGGUUUGCGUCCGCGCGGACGUGCAUUGUUGCAAUGUGUGACAAUUGUGACAGAACCGGGGCAAUCGUAAUCGAAUUGCUAAUAAUACUGAAUUGAAUUGAUUUUACGGUUUGUAGUUUUGCACGUGAUAAGCACCUUGGGCAAGUCUCCACGUGUGGUGGAAUCUUCACUGGAUGUAAACGUUGACGAUGU